AGUGAACGCUGGCGGUAGGCCUAACACAUGCAAGUCGAACGGCAGCACAGUAAGAGCUUGCUCUUACGGGUGGCGAGUGGCGGACGGGUGAGGAAUACAUCGGAAUCUACUUUUUCGUGGGGGAUAACGUAGGGAAACUUACGCUAAUACCGCACACGACCUACGGGUGAAAGCAGGGGAUCUUCGGACCUUGCGCGAUUGAAUGAGCCGAUGUCGGAUUAGCUAGUUGGCGGGGUAAAGGCCCACCAAGGCGACGAUCCGUAGCUGGUCUGAGAGGAUGAUCAGCCACACUGGAACUGAGACACGGUCCAGACUCCUACGGGAGGCAGCAGUGGGGAAUAUUGGACAAUGGGCGCAAGCCUGAUUCAGCCAUACCGCGUGGGUGAAGAAGGCCUUCGGGUUGUAAAGCCCUUUUGUUGGGAAAGAAAAGCAGCAGGUUAAUACCCCGCUGUUCUGACGGUACCCAAAGAAUAAGCACCGGCUAACUUCGUG
rnacentral:rRNA from 1 species